rnacentral:lncRNA from 1 species
ACCCUGACCUCCUCGCUUCAGUGUUGACGAUUACUGGAUAUGCUGGUACCAGAAAGAAAUCAUGGAGACCGGGCAGAGAAAGGAUCCUGUGGGAAAGCUCUUCUGUUGAGGUGGACACCCACAGUGAAAAUGCUACGUCAUCUGAGAGUGCCGCUCGCACUCUGCUGAUCCACGGCCCCGUGGAACUCAAAAGAGGCUGGAGGAGGCAGAAGCGACACCUCUUCUUGCUCAGCGAUCUGUUGCUGAUAACUAACACCAAGUACGUGUACACUACAGGCUCUCCUGAUUACCAUCAGAUUGCGUUUUCACCAACCCUUACUGUGGGAAAAUAUUAAGUGGUUUUCUUCUUUUGCUUUUGCAAAUGUUUUGAUCCUCCCUUUAGUCAACAAGUAUCAACAGAGGUCUUGUUCUGCGCCGUGUCCCUGUAGAGAACACGAUUGAGAAUGUGACAGGCAGGGUCUCUCCUGCCUGGAGCUUCCGGACAGAUGAUAAAAAUAAGAGGAGGGAAAUUACACAUUGAAGUUAGUGCUUCUCAUAAGAGAGAGAAGAGGGUACCAUGUGGAGAAGAAAAUGGGACCAUCCUAGAGAGGGG